rnacentral:rRNA from 1 species
UGAUAUUAUCUAUGUGCAUAAAGAGCAAUAAAUUAUAUUAGAAAUAUAAUAGAGGCAAAAAAAUAAACAAACAUGACAAGAAUACCAUUGUCCACCU